rnacentral:rRNA from 1 species
AACGAACGCUGGCGGCGCGUCUUAAGCAUGCAAGUCGAACGGCAAGAUUAGUGCUUGCACUGAUCCUAGAGUGGCGGACUGGUGAGUAACACGUGGGUGACAUACCCUUCAGUUGGGGAUAGCUAUUAGAAAUAGUAGAUAAUACCGAAUACGACCGUAGUUGUUAGAGGACUACGAGGAAAGUAGCUAAGGCUAUGCUGAAGGAUUGGCCCGCGGCCCAUUAGCUAGUUGGUGUGGUAAAGGCAUACCAAGGCGAUGAUGGGUAUCCGGCCUGAGAGGGUGAUCGGACACAUUGGGACUGAGAUACGGCCCAG